GCAUAAUCAUCAACUUGAUAAUAAUAGCCUGAGUGUUACAAGUCACACAAUGGAAGGCCGAUAUUUAUCUCGAGGCGAAAUCAUCCUCUACUGCAUCAAAAUGUGGUCGAAACCUUUAUUUAUUUGUUUGCCCAAAUUAGAACAACAUUCCUCUAGAAACCGACCGAGAGGCAAGAGAUCUCAGAAAGCAUUGGUGGAGGUGAUCUAUAACGGGCCAGGGAAGGUUCCGUUCUCUCGUUGCUCAUUCCACCGCUCCACCCAUUCACUUGGGCAGAGCGAACGGUAGUACUUGGCAAACUUUUCACAUUCUGAAGCAUCCUCACCUUUUGCAGCUAUGCACCUAUGAUAUUCAAUAUAUCGAGUAAAGCAAUGCCUUGUUUGAUUAGUUGUCGGGAAACGGAAAUCAGCAGGGGCUGUCUCAAGCUUAAUUUCUGGUUUCUCUUCAGUAUCUUCUUCCACUGUUUCUUCUGGCUCAGGAGCUUCAGUCAUUUCUUCCACUGCUGUCUCUUCUUGUUCAGGAGCUUUAGUUAUUUCUUCCACUGCAGCUUCUUCUUGUCCAGGAGCUUCAGUAGUCUCUUCUGCUGCAGGAGUACUUUCAUUUGAAACAGGGAUUUCAGCAGCUUUCUCUGGGACAAUUUCCUCUGGAGCAAUAGCAGACUCCCCGAUUCCAGCUGUUUCUUCGAUGCCGGUUUCACUCUUAUCUGACUUGUCCUCCUUUACUUUUAGCGACCAUUGCUCGGCGAGGGAGAGGGGCUUCUGGUGGUCGGAUUCUGCCAUCGGUGGCUGUAUCGGCGGCGGCGGCGACGGCGGCUGCACUCGGUAGCUCCGACGAGAUGAGAGAGGGCGACU
rnacentral:misc_RNA from 1 species